rnacentral:misc_RNA from 1 species
GAUGAAGAACGCAGCGAAAUGCGAUAAGAAGUGUGAAUUGCAGAAUUCAGUGAAUCAUCGAAUCUUUGAACGCACAUUGCGCCCCUUGGUAUUCCAUGGGGCAUGCCUGUUCGAGCGUCAUUUGUACCUUCAAGCCUUGCUUGGUGUUGGGUGUUUGUCUCGCCUCUGCGCGCAGACUCGCCUCAAAACAAUUGGCAGCCGGCGUAUUGAUUUCGGAGCGCAGUACAUCUCGCGCUUUGCACUCAGAACGACGACGUCCAAAAGUACAUUUUUACACUCUUGACCUCGGAUCAGGUAGGGAUACCCGCUGAACUUAAGCAUAUCAAUAAGCGGAGGA